CUGAUCUGAGAGAGUGAAGAGUGUGUCAUUGUUCUCUACAGGUUGAGUUACUGUGGUCUCACAGAUGAAGGUUGUGCUGCUCUGGCUUCAGCUCUGAGAUCAAACCCCUCACACCUAAGACAUCUGAAUCUGAUUGGGAAUAAACAACAGAAAUUAGAAGAGAAGUUUCUUUCUGAUCUGAAGGAUGAUGAAUCAUGUUAUAAACUGAAGACAUUAUACUAUUUUUCCUCAGGAUCAGCCGAUGGUGAAUAAGGAGCCGCUACAGAGACACACAGUCACACAAUCAACAGAGACUGAAGAUAAAGAGACAGACAGAGAUCUUGUUUUUAUCUUUAUGUGGGUCUGUUCUUUUAAAUUACAGAUUUACACAAUGAUUUAUUAGAGGACCUGAGGUCACUGUAUCUUUUAAAACUCAAUUUUAUAAAUUGAUGACCCAUGAAAAUCAGUGCUGAAAAGCACCACUAGCGAGUUGGAAUUGUUUUAGAUUCACUAGAUAUUGAUUACAAUGUAGCUGUAACACUCAAUACACUACAAGAAGUCACAAAACUAAAACACUCAUUUUAAUCAACAAGUCAUAAAUAAGAAAUUCAUUGUGCAAAACAGACAACUUGUCGUAAUGUGAUGA